CCCCUGGUGGUCCAGUGGUUAGGACUUGGUGCUUUCAAUGCUGGGUCCCGGGUUCAAUCCUUGGUUGGGGAA
rnacentral:tRNA from 1 species